AUUGAACGCUGGCGGCAGGCCUAACACAUGCAAGUCGAACGAGUGGCGGACGGGUGAGUAAUGUCUGGGAAACUGCCUUAUGGAGGGGGGUAACUACUGGAAACGGUAGCUAAUACCGCAUACAAUCGGAUGUGACAAGAUGUGAUUAGCUAGUCGGUGGGGUAACAGCUCACCUAGGCCACGAUCCCUAGCGGGCCUGAGAGGAUGACCAGCCACACUGGAACUGAGACACGGUCCAGACCCCUACGGGAUGCAUCAGUGGGGAAUAUUGCACAAUGGGCCCAAGCCUGAUGCAGCCAUCCCGCGUGUAUGAAGAAGGCCUUCGGGUUGGAAAGUACUUUCAGCGGGGAGGCGUUACCCUCAGAAGAAGCCCCGGCUAACUCCGUGCCAGCAGCCGCGGUAAUUC
rnacentral:rRNA from 1 species